UGAGAGAGAGAAAGAGAAAAGGGGGCGACCAAGAUAUGAGCGACCCAAGCUGAGAUCAAAGAUGACGAAUGACGACCCAAGCUAAGAGAGGAUAUCACUACAUACACAGAGAGAGGAGGCGACGAUAUACGAAGAACCAAAGCCGAGAUCGAAGACAAUGAACAUCAGAGCUAUGAUCAGCCCUAAGGUUACCCAUAAGUAGCUCACAAUUUGAUAAAAUGCAAGAACAAGAUCGAACCAACGUUGAUCCAACCCCCAAGUUUCGAGUACCACGACCGAGGCCUUCACAAGAUGUUAGGUUGAGUGAUGACUAUGACGAUGACGAUGACGAUGACCAGGACAACGUUGAAGAUGAGUGUUGCAGGAUGGAUUGGUGCUUCCACAUGGAUUGAUGACAUUAUGUUGACGAUGAUU